AAGCUGGCCGACGCAGUUGGUUCGCCCCGUCCGCCAGGCGGGGCGUCGUAAGAGGGAACCCGGUGACGCCUUUCCAUUGGCCAGUCCGGGACUGCCCCGCAGCGGUGAGUGGGAACGACCGCCGUCAUACGCACUGGGCCCGGAUCGGGUCUGGGAAGCGACGGUCAGUAGGUGUCCGUCCUGGAAUCAGGGCGGGCGUGCCCCCGAGUCCGAAGACCUGCCACUGCCCGUGCGCGACC
rnacentral:ncRNA from 1 species